rnacentral:rRNA from 1 species
GGAUAGAGGCCUACCAUGGUGGUAACGGGUAACGGGGAAUUAGGGUUCGAUUCCGGAGAGGGAGCCUGAGAAACGGCUACCACAUCCAAGGAAGGCAGCAGGCGCGCAAAUUACCCAAUCCCGACACGGGGAGGUAGUGACAAUAAAUAACAAUACGGGGCUCAUUUGGGUCUCGUAAUUGGAAUGAGUACAAUUUAAAUCCCUUAACGAGGAACAAUUGGAGGGCAAGUCUGGUGCCAGCAGCCGCGGUAAUUCCAGCUCCAAUAGCGUAUAUUAAAGUUGUUGCAGUUAAAAAGCUCGUAGUUGAACUUCGGGGUCUACCCAUUGGUCAGGCUUAAUUGUCUGCACUGGUGAGAUGGAUCUCUACCUUCUGAGGAUCUUUCAUGCCAUUUAUUUGGUGUGAUGGGAAAUCAGGACUGUUACUUUCAAAAAAUUAGAGUGUUUAAAGCAGACUAUCGUCUGAAUACAUUAGCAUGGAAUAAUGAAAUAGGACGGACUGAUUCUAUUUCGUUGGUUUCUAGGAUCACCGUAAUGAUUAAUAGGGAUAGUUGGGGGCAUUAGUAUUCAAUUGUCAGAGGUGGAAUUCUUGGAUUUAUUGAAGGUUAACUACUGCGAAAGCAUUUGCCAAGGAUGUUUUCAUUAAUCAAGAACGAAAGUUAGGGGAUCGAAGACGAUCAGAUACCGUCGUAGUCUUAACCAUAAACUAUGCCGACUAGGAAUCGGGCGUCGUUAUUUUAAUGACUCGCUCGGCGCCUUAUGGGAAC